rnacentral:rRNA from 2 species
AGACCCGAAACCCGGUGAUCUAGCCAUGGGCAGGUUGAAGGUUGGGUAACACUAACUGGAGGACCGAACCGACUAAUGUUGAAAAAUUAGCGGAUGACCUGUGGCUGGGGGUGAAAGGCCAAUCAAACCGGGAGAUAGCUGGUUCUCCCCGAAAGCUAUUUAGGUAGCGCCUCGUGAAUUCAUCUCCGGGGGUAGAGCACUGUUUCGGCUAGGGGGCCAUCCCGGCUUACCAACCCGAUGCAAACUGCGAAUACCGGAGAAUGUUAUCACGGGAGACACACGGCGGGUGCUAACGUCCGUCGUGAAGAGGGAAACAACCCAGACCGCCAGCUAAGGUCCCAAAGUCAUGGUUAAGUGGGAAACGAUGUGGGAAGGCCCAGACAGCCAGGAUGUUGGCUUAGAAGCAGCCAUCAUUUAAAGAAAGCGUAAUAGCUCACUGGUCGAGUCGGCCUGCGCGGAAGAUGUAACGGGGCUAAACCAUGCACCGAAGCUGCGGCAGCGAACGUAUCACCCAAGACAACUUUACGGAGUUGACGAUUGACGGAGCGAAGCGACGUCAAAGCGUUCAUUAAAGUCGAGUUGGCUUAGGGAUACGUUCGUUGGGUAGGGGAGCGUUCUGUAAGCCUGUGAAGGUGUGUCGUGAGGCAUGCUGGAGGUAUCAGAAGUGCGAAUGCUGACAUAAGUAACGAUAAAGCGGGUGAAAAGCCCGCUCGCCGGAAGACCAAGGGUUCCUGUCCAACGUUAAUCGGGGCAGGGUGAGUCGACCCCUAAGGCGAGGCCGAAAGGCGUAGUCGAUGGGAAACGGGUUAAUAUUCCCGUACUUGGUGUUACUGCGAAGGGGGGACGGAGAAGGCUAUGUUGGCCGGGCGACGGUUGUCCCGGUUUAAGCGUGUAGGUGUGUGUUCCAGGUAAAUCCGGUUCACUUUAACACUGAGGCGUGACGACGAGGCACUACGGUGCUGAAGCAACAAAUGCCCUGCUUCCAGGAAAAGCCUCUAAGCAUCAGGUAACAUCAAAUCGUACCCCAAACCGACACAGGUGGUCAGGUAGAGAAUACCAAGGCGCUUGAGAGAACUCGGGUGAAGGAACUAGGCAAAAUGGUGCCGUAACUUCGGGAGAAGGCACGCUGACACGUAGGUGAAGUGAUUUACUCAUGGAGCUGAAGUCAGUCGAAGAUACCAGCUGGCUGCAACUGUUUAUUAAAAACACAGCACUGUGCAAACACGAAAGUGGACGUAUACGGUGUGACGCCUGCCCGGUGCCGGAAGGUUAAUUGAUGGGGUCAGCGCAAGCGAAGCUCCUGAUCGAAGCCCCGGUAAACGGCGGCCGUAACUAUAACGGUCCUAAGGUAGCGAAAUUCCUUGUCGGGUAAGUUCCGACCUGCACGAAUGGCGUAAUGAUGGCCAGGCUGUCUCCACCCGAGACUCAGUGAAAUUGAACUCGCUGUGAAGAUGCAGUGUACCCGCGGCAAGACGGAAAGACCCCGUGAACCUUUACUAUAGCUUGACACUGAACAUUGAGCCUUGAUGUGUAGGAUAGGUGGGAGGCUUUGAAGUGUGGACGCCAGUCUGCAUGGAGCCGACCUUGAAAUACCACCCUUUAAUGUUUGAUGUUCUAACGUGGACCCGUUACCCGGGUUGCGGACAGUGUCUGGUGGGUAGUUUGACUGGGGCGGUCUCCUCCUAAAGAGUAACGGAGGAGCACGAAGGUUGGCUAAUCCUGGUCGGACAUCAGGAGGUUAGUGCAAUGGCAUAAGCCAGCUUGACUGCGAGCGUGACGGCGCGAGCAGGUGCGAAAGCAGGUCAUAGUGAUCCGGUGGUUCUGAAUGGAAGGGCCAUCGCUCAACGGAUAAAAGGUACUCCGGGGAUAACAGGCUGAUACCGCCCAAGAGUUCAUAUCGACGGCGGUGUUUGGCACCUCGAUGUCGGCUCAUCACAUCCUGGGGCUGAAGUAGGUCCCAAGGGUAUGGCUGUUCGCCAUUUAAAGUGGUACGCGAGCUGGGUUUAGAACGUCGUGAGACAGUUCGGUCCCUAUCUGCCGUGGGCGCUGGAGAACUGAGGGGGGCUGCUCCUAGUACGAGAGGACCGGAGUGGACGCAUCACUGGUGUUCGGGUUGUCAUGCCAAUGGCACUGCCCGGUAGCUAAAUGCGGAAGAGAUAAGUGCUGAAAGCAUCUAAGCACGAAACUUGCCCCGAG